rnacentral:rRNA from 1 species
GACGAACGCUGGCGGCGUGCCUAAUACAUGCAAGUUGAGCGCUGAAGGUUGGUACUUGUACCAACUGGAUGAGCAGCGAACGGGUGAGUAACGCGUGGGGAAUCUGCCUUUGAGCGGGGGACAACAUUUGGAAACGAAUGCUAAUACCGCAUAAAAACUUUAAACACAAGUUUUAAGUUUGAAAGAUGCAAUUGCAUCACUCAAAGAUGAUCCCGCGUUGUAUUAGCUAGUUGGUGAGGUAAAGGCUCACCAAGGCGAUGAUACAUAGCCGACCUGAGAGGGUGAUCGGCCACAUUGGGACUGAGACACGGCCCAAACUCCUACGGGAGGCAGCAGUAGGGAAACUUCGGCAAUGGACGAAAGUCUGACCGAGCAACGCCGCGUGAGUGAAGAAGGGUUUCGGAUCGUAAAACUCUGUUGGUAGAGAAGAACGUUGGUGAGAGUGGAAAGCUCAUCAAGUGACGGUAAUUACCCAGAAAGGGACGGCUAACUACGUG